UGGGAUGACAAUGAGUGGUCAGAGGGAGCAGGCUGGGAGGAGGAGAUCCUGGAAGCUGAAGAGGUAACAAGAGUUUAGUGAGCAGGAAGAGGCUGUGGCAGAAAGCAGUCCAGACUCAGCCACAAAAGCUAAAGCAGGAGAGGAGGGAAGCCAAGAGGCAGAGAUGAGUCUGGCUUGUGAAGAGGCACAGGUAUCCCCCCCUCCUGCUGCAAAAGCUCCCCUCCCCUCUGGUCUCCCAGCCCCAGAAGAGGCAUGAAGAGGGCAGAGCAGAAGUUAGCUUCACACAGGUACUGUCUCAAAUUGCUUCAGGGAAAACCCUGGAGAGGAGGGGACUUAGGCAGCUGUAGGGAGCCAGGACCUUCAGUCUCAGCAAAUGCUUUGUAGGGGCAAGACCUGCUGGAGAUGAGUGUUGUGCUUAUUAGACCUGACACCACUGCACAGAUCCUGUUUGUGCUAAUAAAGAGUUAACUCCAACUAGCUUGGUGCAAUUUACUGCUGGCUCCCUGUCGGAGUGGCACCUCAUUUGCUGCCAGCCUCCUUCGCUUCUAGGGGCAGAGCAGAGAGAGACUGGUGGCAAAGCUCUGUGUAAUGCCUCCCCUUCUGCUGAAUUUUCUAGAGGGAAGACUUUUUGCUUUGUCACUAGGUGGGGGGGGGAGAGAUUUUCCCCCACCACCCAGCAGUGGUGGGGCUUUACUCCUAAAGGGAGAACCCCGCUGCUGGGAAGGAGGAGGGACCCAUAAAUGAUCUCCCCAGCUUUCCCUGUGUGGGAGACUCCACAAGGGCUUCUUCACAAGAGCUUCUUCAUCACAGGGGCAGCAGUGGGGCAUUUCGCCUCAGGUGCCGCAACACCUUGGGCCACCCCUGGCAACCUCCACUUAAUACGAUCAUGGCGUGGUUACAUUAGCACUUGAAAAUAUGUGAAUUAUGUUCAUCUCUUUUCCUAUUUCUCCAUAGUAGAUAACAAUUUUUAAAAAACAUGCUUAUGCGUAUUCUGGUUAAAACACUCUAAAAAAAUUUUCAUUAACUCUGAAUUACGUACAUUUUAUAAAGAGCAUUAAACUAUGAAAUAAACACAGGAUAAAUAUUUAACCUGAGAAAAAUAAUCUUGAACAUGCAGUUUGCAUUAACUAAUAUUAUAUUCUCCAGAUCUCUUUCAUUCAUAGCUGACAACUGGGUGGAUAAAGUGAAUUUCAGUUCCCAAAUACUUCUGCAGAACAACAUAGCAGUAGUGCUUUUUAGCUUCUUUCACUUUAUUUUCCUCUCUCGCCAAGUAGUGAGGAACAGCAGGUAUAAAAGUGAUUUAGUAAUUAUGUGAUGUAGCCAUAUUUAGAAUACUAUGAGACAACCACUGAAGUUGAUUAAUGGUGGAUCUAGACAUGUCCAAAGUAAUUACCUCUUUAGAUAGUGCAGAAUUAUGUGGUAAUACCCAAUGGUUUACUUCAGACUGCUGUUUCACAGGAUUAGACAUAUUUAUGGAGGACACAUCUAUCAAAGGCUGUAAUAGACCAUAGCAGUUAAAUGGCACCUCCAUGUUCAGAAGUAGUAUAGCUCUGAUUUCGAUACGCUGGGAACAAGACAGCAGAUUAUCUCUGUCACAGAAGAUGCUGUUGUUUGUGAGCUCUCAAAGGAUCCUGGGAACUGUAGUUUGUUAAGCGUGCUGAGAAUUGCACCUUUGUGAACCACAGUUCCUAGGAUUCUCUGGGGAGAACAGUGUGUUCUAAAUGUGUUUUGUGGGUUCUACCUAAUUCUCUGGAUGCAACCCGUAAUCUAUUUUACUCUUUUGUGUUUGAAGGAGAGCAAGCAAAUGGGAAAGGUCCAGUUUAUCCACUUAAUUAAUCUGCGGAUGACUUUGAAAAAGAAUUGGACGAAUUCACAGAGGAUAAGGCUAUCAUGGCUUGUAACCUUGAUGGCUAUGUUUUAUCUCCGCUGUCAGAAGCCAUAUGCUCUCUCUGAAUACCAAUUGCUGGAAACCACAGGAAGGGAGAGUGCUGUUGUGCUCAAGGUAAUGCUUGUGAGCUUCCCAUACACAUCUGAUCACCACUGUUAAGAACAGGAUGCUGGACUAGAUGGAGCAACGGCCUGAUCCAACAGGCUCUUCAUAUAUUCUUAUGUUUAUGUUCAUCAUUUAAAAUAAAGUAUGUUUUAAUGUGCAUGGACACUUCAUUCUUCUCUCGCUCCCGACUGUGCUGUGCAGGAGAGGAAACAAACCCUAAACAAGCCAGACUCCAGUUUGUUGUGACAUAUGAACCUUGGCUCCUGUGGGCUUGUUUCCUUUCUUCUGAACAGCCCCUCCAUGGUUACUCCUCCAGUUGCCUGGAUACUCCAGCAGAUGAGAGUCCUUGAAAGGAUUUGAAGAACAGAAAGUCCAGAUAAUCUAAUGAGCCAUGCUUGAAAGGGAAGGCUACUCAGAUUCCGAAAUAUUUUCAUCAUUAGUGCAAGCACAAAGGGAGACAUUGGACCAUCAAAGGCAGCAGGUGGAGGAAGCUAUAAUGUGCCAGUACAACUUUGAUUGAUAAGACAAGGCAUCAGUAGGGACCAUAGGUGGAUGGACAGAAAGAAGCUUAUGGGAAGACCUUGACUGAAAGCAUUACAUGUAGAUUGUACUGUAAAUUAUUUGAAAGCACAAUGUUCUUGCUAUGUAUUUAAAGGGAAAUUAUUGUGUUAUAUGGCAACCCAGUCAGAUGGAUGGC
rnacentral:lncRNA from 1 species